UGAGUAACACGUAGGGAACCUGCCCGCGCACCGGGAAUACGCUCUGGAAACGGAGAACAAAUCCCGAUGUACAGGAAGGAGGCAUCUUCUUUCUGUGAAACAUCCUUUCGGGGAUGGGGCGCGGAUGGACCUGCGGUGCAUUAGUUUGUUGGCGGGGUAAAGGCCCACCAAGACGAUGAUGCAUAGCCGGCCUGAGAGGGCGGACGGCCACAUUGGGACUGAGACACGGCCCAGACUCCUGCGGGAGGCAGCAGUAGGGAAUUUUCGUCAAUGGGCGCAAGCCUGAACGAGCGAUGCCGCGUGAGUGAAGAAGGCCUUCGGGUCGUAAAGCUCUGUUGCGGGGGAAAAAAGGCAGCAUCAGGAAAUGGGUGCUGACUGAUGGUGCCCCGCCAGAAAGUCACGGCUAACUACGUGCCAGCAGCCGCGGUAAUACGUAGGUGGCAAGCGUUAUCCGGAAUGAUUGGGCGUAAAGGGUGCGCAGGCGGUCCUGCAAGUCUGGAGUGAAACGCAUGAGCUCAACUCAUGCAUGGCUUUGGAAACUGGAGGACUGGAGAGCAGGAGAGGGCGGUGGAACUCCAUGUGUAGCGGUAAAAUGCGUAGAUAUAUGGAAGAACACCAGUGGCGAAGGCGGCCGCCUGGCCUGUU
rnacentral:rRNA from 1 species